rnacentral:rRNA from 1 species
ACGGGGGGGGUAAGCGUUGUUCGGAAUUACUGGGCGUAAAGGGCUCGUAGGCGGCCAACUAAGUCAGACGUGAAAUCCCUCGGCUUAACCGGGGAACUGCGUCUGAUACUGGAUGGCUUGAGUUCGGGAGAGGGAUGCGGAGUUCCAGGUGUAGCGGUGAAAUGCGUAGAUAUCUGGAGGAACACCGGUGGCGAAGGCGGCAUCCUGGACCGACACUGACACUGAGGAGCGAAAGCCAGGGGAGCAAACGGGA